UACGUAGGGUGCAAGCGUUGUCCGGAAUUAUUGGGCGUAAAGAGCUCGUAGGCGGUUUGUCGCGUCGAAUGUGAAAACCCGGGGCUCAACUCCGGGCCUGCAUUCGAUACGGGCAGACUAGAGUUCGGUAGGGGAGUCUGGAAUUCCUGGUGUAGCGGUGAAAUGCGUAGAGAUCAGGAGGAACACCGGUGGCGAAGGCGGGAUCCUGGGCCAGUACUGACGCUGAGGAGCGAAAGCGUGGGGAGCAAACAGG
rnacentral:rRNA from 1 species